rnacentral:rRNA from 1 species
UAUAAGACUGGGAUAACUUCGGGAAACCGGAGCUAAUACCGGAUAACAUUUGGAACCGCAUGGUUCUAAAGUGAAAGAUGGUUUUGCUAUCACUUAUAGAUGGACCCGCGCCGUAUUAGCUAGUUGGUAAGGUAACGGCUUACCAAGGCGACGAUACGUAGCCGACCUGAGAGGGUGAUCGGCCACACUGGAACUGAGACACGGUCCAGACUCCUACGGGAGGCAGCAGUAGGGAAUCUUCCGCAAUGGGCGAAAGCCUGACGGAGCAACGCCGCGUGAGUGAUGAAGGGUUUCGGCUCGUAAAACUCUGUUAUUAGGGAAGAACAAAUGUGUAAGUAACUAUGCACAUCUUGACGGUACCUAAUCAGAAAGCCACGGCUAACUACGUGCCAGCAGCCGCGGUAAUACGUAGGUGGCAAGCGUUAUCCGGAAUUAUUGGGCGUAAAGCGCGCGUAGGCGGUUUCUUAAGUCUGAUGUGAAAGCCCACGGCUCAACCGUGGAGGGUCAUUGGAAACUGGGAAACUUGAGUGCAGAAGAGGAAAGUGGAAUUCCAUGUGUAGCGGUGAAAUGCGCAGAGAUAUGGAGGAACACCAGUGGCGAAGGCGACUUUCUGGUCUGUAACUGACGCUGAUGUGCGAAAGCGUGGGGAUCAAACAGGAUUAGAUACCCUGGUAGUCCACGCCGUAAACGAUGAGUGCUAAGUGUUAGGGGGCUUCCGCCCCUUAGUGCUGCAGCUAACGC